UGACUACAGGCAAGCCUGGCUUAACUGCGGU
rnacentral:piRNA from 1 species